AGAGUUUGAUCAUGGCUCAGGAUGAACGCUAGCGGCAGGCCUAAUACAUGCAAGUCUAGGGGGCAGCAAUGUCACCGGCGCACGGGUGCGUAACACGUAUGCAACCUACCUUCUACAGGGGUACAGCCUUCCGAAAGGGAGAUUAAUACCGCAUGAGACCACACUGGUGAUGCCAGAGGGGUUAAAGAUUUAUCGGUAGAAGAUGGGCAUGCGUCUGAUUAGUUAGUUGGCGGGGUAAUGGCUCACCAAGACGAUGAUCAGUAGGGGAUCUGAGAGGAUUAUCCCCCACACUGGCACUGAGAUACGGGCCAGACUCCUACGGGAGGCAGCAGUAGGGAAUAUUGGGCAAUGGGCGCAAGCCUGACCCAGCCAUGCCGCGUGCAGGAAGAAGGCGUUAUGCGUUGUAAACUGCUUUUAUACGGGAAGAAAAAGGCCAUGCGUGGCAAACUGACGGUACCGUAGAAUAG
rnacentral:rRNA from 1 species